GGGACCGUAAAGGUUUCGACGGGGGCUUUGAACCUUGCUAAGCAUGCAGAGUUCGUCUAAACUCUUUAAUAAUGGGCAAUUUAAAAUUAAACGCAGAUAAUAGAUCUGAACUUGUAGCUGCCUAAGUGCGGCUUCCGUCCUGCCUGAGAAUACUGCGGCUUGGGUUUGGGCGUCGAUCAGCAGUGAACGUUAACAGUGAGAGCCUUGCAGCUGUUAAUGAAUUAAAGGGCUACCAAGCUUUAAUCCUGUUUGUCGGAGUGAGGUAAGGGAAGUUUAAUAGAUAAACUAAGCAUGUAGAAAGGUGAGCGGAUGGGCUUUCGGACGCGAGUUCGACUCUCGCCGGUUCCACCA
rnacentral:tmRNA from 1 species